UACGUAGGGUGCAAGCGUUAAUCGGAAUUACUGGGCGUAAAGCGUGCGCAGGCGGUUGUGUAAGACAGAUGUGAAAUCCCCGGGCUCAACCUGGGAACUGCAUUUGUGACUGCACAGCUGGAGUGCGGCAGAGGGGGAUGGAAUUCCGCGUGUAGCAGUGAAAUGCGUAGAUAUCAGGAGGAACACCGAUGGCGAAGGCAGGUCUCUGGGCUGACACUGACGCUCAUGCACGAAAGCGUGGGGAGCAAACAGG
rnacentral:rRNA from 1 species